rnacentral:lncRNA from 1 species
GAAUUUGUUUUGAAGCUCUGCGUAUGCAAUUGUUUGAAGCCUCUUUGUGAAUUAAAGGCUUUCACAAAAGAGGUCAAAAGGCCAGUGAUGCUAAAAGCAAUAGACCAUCGUGGGCACAUUUUACCACACCGGAGGGAAAACAAAAGAGCAUAACUGAAGACAUCCUGGGAAGAGGGAGCAGCAACAAGCCAAAGGACUGAUUCGAGGCCAAGACUCUAUCCAGGUUUUAAUCACCAGAGAGACAAGACAGAGCUAUAAACUGACAUCAGCCAUUGGAAAAGGAGUGGGAGGUGGCGAAGUAAUUCCACCCCGGGCUUCAACAGAGGAUAGUGUUUCUAUGUGGUGGUUUGCCUGAUAAAGGUCAAGAUGAGCUGAGACCAUCGAGCCUAUUUCGGGGAAGAUAUUAGAUUUCACUGGGGCCAGCCUCUGAAAAGUGAGUUAUUAGUGUUUUGUUUACUAUGCCCUCUGGCUCCCUCCUUAAUUAGGUGGAACUGAUAAGCUUGAUAAAUUCUGAACUAUUGCUUUCUGUUUGCCAAUAACAAAAAGAUUACUGGGCUUGGGAUGUUAGUUAUUUUUAUGGGAACCAUUAAACUUCUCUUUUCCUGAAGAUGUAGUUUUCCUUCCAAUAGACUGGAAAAGAAAGACCUUUUUUACUUGGGUUCCAAUUCUGUCUCCAUCACUUAUACCUUUGUGACCUUGAACAAGUCUCCC